UAAGGGCACACAGUUUCAUCUCCACCCGGCUCCAACACACAGCUGCUACCCACACACGCUCUCCUUUCCACGCAAUGGCCGCCGCCGCCGCCGCCGCGGAAGAGGACCACCGCCGCUGGGUCGCCUGCGCCGUCGCGCUCGACCGCCUGCCGGCUGUGGGCUCGGAGGUCUACUACUUCGCUCAAGGGCACGCGGAGCAGUGGCCUUCUAUCGCCGCUCCGCAGGCUGCCAACCCCAUGCUUCCUUGCAGGGUCACCUCCAUCCAGCGCUUCACCGCCGGCGAAGAGCCCUACGCCCGCAUCUCCCUCGUCCCGGCCGACCACGGCAUCCAUCCCGCCGCCGACCCGCGCCCCAACCCCGACUCGUUCCUCUUCUUCCCAAAACCGCUCCAGCAGGCGGACAUUCAAAGAUCGUACUUGGCCGUACCAAAGGUCUGCGUCAACGCCUUGUUCCCGGAGAUCCAGGUCGGGAGCGACAUUCAAGCGAUUCAGAUGUCCGGGCUGGAUGGUGACACCUACCAAUUCCAGCACAAGGUUCUCGGCCGGAAGAAUCAUCUGAAGGGCGCUUGGGACAAGUUCAUCGCCAACAAGAGGCCGGACAUCGGUGACACGGUGCUGUUCGUCCGGCGCAGCGACCUGAGCUUUUUGAUCGAAGUACGUCGCCAGAACCCGGUCGUCGACCAUGGUGUGCAGCAGCCCGUCCAGGAACUGGAGCAAUCGUCGCAGUUGGCCGCCCAAAGAGAUGCAUUUACCGUCACCUACUACCCGGGGAGGGGUUCAGACUCGCCAUUCGUGGUACCUAGAGGAGCUGUCGAUGAAGCGAUGGGCAAGCAGUGGGAGUCAGACAUGGAGGUGCGCGUGCGGCCAAGGGACCUGGUGCUGCUCGCCGAUGAACCCCACGGCGCGGCAUUCCCCACGACAGGAACCAUCAGGGCGGUGACUCCCGACCAAGUGUGGCGCAACCUCCAGAUUGAUCUUGAUGGGUCAUCCUCGUCUUCGGCAUCCGCCACCAAGAACAUGUGGGAGGUCGAAGCUGUCCGUGCCCAUCCACCUCUUCCAAAAAGGACCAAGACCGGUCGUGAUCCACAGCUCUCGCGUGAUGAUCAGUCUGAAGAACCUGUGAGCAAGAUCAGAUUGAUGGGCUUCGACAUCAAAGCCAAAGACAUUGGCACAUCAUGAUGAUGGUCGAUUCUCCUCCUUCAGGCACUUGGUUCUGUUUUUUUGGCUGUAAUGGAAGGAUUGCGACAUCAUGGAGAGUUUGGGUGUUUAAGCCCCAUUGCCUAGUAUACUUCAGUACUAAUCUGGCCAACAACUGGUCUUAACUGUUUGGCCAGGUUAUUCUUGUCAGCAUAACCUGUUAAUGAGAUGGACGUCGGUGGUGCUUCUGAACACCUACUGCUGCAAAGAUUUUUGAUAAUGCUUUUUGAUUUCGUGGCACUAUAUGAUUGGUGUGUGACAACCUUUUGCA